GGAAAUCUUCAUGAGGUACUGUUAACAGUUAGUUUUGCAGGUUUGCAUUCAGCUGAUAUGUGCUGAUGCUGUGCAAAUCCAUGCAAAACUGACAGUAGCAGUGGUUUCUAGAGAAUUGAAUG
rnacentral:pre_miRNA from 17 species